GACGAACGCUGGCGGCGUGCUUAACACAUGCAAGUCGAACGAGACGAUUGAAAGCUUGCUUUCAAAAGUCGAGUGGCAAACGGGUGAGUAACGCGUAGACAACCUGCCUUUGAGAUGGGGACAACAGUUCGAAAGGACUGCUAAUACCGAAUGUUGUAUAUUUUCCACAUGGAAGAUAUAUUAAAGAUGGCCUCUAUUUAUAAGCUAUCGCUCAAAGAUGGGUCUGCGUCUGAUUAGCUGGUUGGUGGGGUAACGGCCUACCAAGGCGACGAUCAGUAGCCGGGCUGAGAGGAUGAAGGGCCACAUUGGGACUGAGACACGGCCCAGACUCCUACGGGAGGCAGCAGUGGGGAAUCUUCCACAAUGGACGAAAGUCUGAUGGAGCAACGCCGCGUGAGUGAAGAAGGGUUUCGGCUCGUAAAGCUCUGUCGUCGGGGACGAAUGUGCAGUAUUUGAAUAAAGUAGUGUAAUGACGGUACCUGACGAGGAAGCCACGGCUAACUACGUGCCAGCCGCCGCCGUAAGAC
rnacentral:rRNA from 1 species